rnacentral:lncRNA from 1 species
AAAGAGUUGGCUUACACUCGCCACAAGCUACAUCAGAGUCACAUCAGUACAUUACAUAAUCAUCAAGAGUAAGAGCAGGGUCCGACUACGGACGAAAACAAACGAAAAAAGAAGAACGACGUCCAUCCUUGCUAUCCCAGGCUGCCGGCCUGGAACCCAUCCUAGAUCGAUGAAGUAGUAGAAGAAGAAGAAGCAACUCCAAAUGAACAAUCAACGUGCUCGCGUCAAGUAACCUCUACCUGUACCUGCAACUAGUGUUGUAGUAAUCUGUGAGCCACAGGGGACUCAGCAAUCUCAUUUCCAAAGGUAUCAAGACUAGCAAAGCU